rnacentral:rRNA from 1 species
UACGUAGGGGGCGAGCGUUGUCCGGAAUGAUUGGGGCGUAAAGGGCGCGUAGGCGGCCCGGUAAGCCUGAAGUGAAAGUCCUGUUUUCAAGAUGGGAAUUGUUUUGGAUACUGUCGGGCUGAGUGCAGGAGAGGUAAGUGGAAUUCCCAGUGUAGCGGUGAAAUGCGUAGAGAUUGGGAGGAACACCAGUGGCGACGGCGACUUACUGGACUGUAACUGACGCUGAGGCGCGAAAGUGUGGGGAGCAAAC